rnacentral:tRNA from 1 species
GGCCCCGUAGCUCAGCUGGUAGAGCACUCGCGGUAAUAAAGCGGGGGUGGUAACCAUGCGUGGGUUUGAAUCCCGCCUGGGCCA